rnacentral:lncRNA from 1 species
AUUUUGUCCAUCUGGUCUCCUGUGUUCCUUUCACUAUGGAUCACUCCUUACUUCUCUUGAUCUUCCAAGGGUUCCUGGGUUUUGUUUGCCUAGACCAACAAUUUCCUUCCUUCCUUCCUACAACUCGUCAUCCUUCCCUCUCUUCAGGAUACAGUUAGCUGAGCUAAUAUCACUGAGGGACUCUUCCAUGUAUUCCAGUCCUGCCUUACAUCAGGGCAGGUCAGUCAAUCAGCAGCAAAGGAUUUGUUGCCCUCACUAUGACAACCAUCUUGUUAUAAGAUUCAGACAGGGAAAAUGGGACAUGACAUCACAAGACUAUUUCUACAAGGACACAAAUAAUUGUAACCCAUAGUGAUAAAUAUAGUGAGACAACAACAUUACUAUCAGUUGGAGUUUGUGCUGAAACAUAAAACCUGCUGCAUUGGAUCACAAGAUUUUGCAUUUUAUUCCUGCAUUGUCACUUAUACACAUUUCCAAUACAUUUUAUUAAUGUACACAUUAAUUAAUGCAUCUAAACCUACACGUUUACCAAUUUAUGCAUUUCUUCAUUGACUGAUACAUAUUUGUGCAAAUGUUUUCAAUGUUAUAAAUGAUUUCCUACAGACAAAGAUGUCUGACAAGGGUGCAAUUUAUAACCCAACCUGCUCAAUCUGUAUGCAGAACGUAUCAUAUGGAAAGCCGAACUAGAUUCAAAUGAAGGAGGAAUGAGAUGUCUGACAAGGGUGCAGUUUAUAACCCAACCUGCUCAAUCUGUAUGCAGAACG